rnacentral:rRNA from 1 species
GUAGGUGGCAAGCGUUGUCCGGAAUUAUUGGGCGUAAAGCGCGCGCAGGCGGUUCUUUAAGUCUGAUGUGAAAGCCCACGGCUCAACCGUGGAGGGUCAUUGGAAACUGGAGAACUUGAGUACAGAAGAGGAAAGCGGAAUUCCACGUGUAGCGGUGAAAUGCGUAGAGAUGUGGAGGAACACCAGUGGCGAAGGCGGCUUUCUGGUCUGUAACUGACGCUGAGGCGCGAAAGCGUGGGGAGCAAACAGGAUUAGAUACCCUGGUAGUCCACGCCGUAAGCGAUGAGUGCUAAGUGUUAGGGGGUUUUCCGCCCCUUAGUGCUGCAGCUAACGCAUUAAGCACUCCGCCUGGGAGUACGGCCGCAAGGCUG